GGGGACGUUCUUGGAUUCGACAGGGGUCCCCCGAGCUUAUUAAGCGUGUCGGAGGGUUGGCUCCGUCAUCAACACAUUUCGGUUAAAUAUAACUGACAAAUCAAACAAUAAUUUCGCAGUAGCUGCGUAAUAGCCACUGCAUCGCCUAACAGCAUCUCCUACGUGCUGUUAACGCGAUUCAACCCUAGUAGGAUAUGCUAAACACUGCCGCUUGAAGUCUCAUGAUGCGAAAAUUAUCAAUAAACUACACACGUAGAAAGAUUUGUAUCAGGACCUCUGGACGCGGGUUCGAAUCCCGCCGUCUCCAUUA
rnacentral:tmRNA from 1 species